rnacentral:misc_RNA from 1 species
GCAUCAGUUUGUUUUCAAAUAGGAAAGACCUAAUGUAAUCAGGGUUAAUUUUACCAAUGUCUUCUGCAAAACAACCUAGCUGCUUAAGAAGAUUUUGGUGCACAUUCCAAAAGCUUCUCCCAGCGAUGUUCUCUGAAUGGAGUAUUCUUGCCUUUCUCCGUAGUCUUUUGACAGGAGUACCGUUCUCACUAUACUUCGCAAUAUCUUCCUCCUGUGUCAUGAAAACACAAGAUCCUUGACGGAACAUCUCAGGAAGUUUUUUG